GAGCCGAUGCCGCUCAUAGCAGGCUACAAGAUUUGCUGAGGCAAGAUGAAGGAGUGAAAGCCAUUUCAAGCCCAUUCAGAAGUUACAGACUUAUUAAAUCUCAAUGUAAUCAUGAACAGUAUCCGCUUGCAUCAGAACAAGACACCUAAACUUCGCCCGAGGUAGACAAAACUCCAAGCAGAGCCAACCUUCUUUGAAGAGAUUCCUGUAUAAAUGUCCAAAACGAAUCGAAAACACUAUUGUCCAAAAAAAAAAAAACCAUGGCUUAAGAAACACUUCCCUGAUCUGCCAAUCUUUUACCAUCAAACAAUUUCUUUCCUUCCAAAGAAGCCACAUGCAAAUCUUCCUUAGAAGAGCAACUCUAUCACCAAGUGGCCACAUGCCAUCUCCUGUCCUCAUCAUCUAAAGUAGCAGAGUAAAUCCUGAUCCCAGUAAACUCUCCUGAAUCCUCUCAGCUCUCGUACCACAGAAGCGUGUAUCGAGGAAAUCUAUGGGCAAGAACUCCUCCGGUACAACCUGGCACUUG
rnacentral:lncRNA from 1 species